CGGGGUGAGUAAUGCUUGGGAAUCUAGCUUAUGGAGGGGGAUAACUACGGGAAACUGUAGCUAAUACCGCGUAAUAUCGAAAGAUUAAAGUGUGGGACCUUCGAGCCACAUGCCAUAGGAUGAGCCCAAGUGGGAUUAGGUAGUUGGUGAGGUAAAGGCUCACCAAGCCGACGAUCUCUAGCUGGUCUGAGAGGAUGACCAGCCACACUGGGACUGAGACACGGCCCAG
rnacentral:rRNA from 1 species